AUCCUUAACAUGCUGCCUCGCUUCUUUGCCCUCUGGACUCAUUUGCCUGUUUGGACUUCUCAAUGCCUAAGACCAAAUGGACCCAAAUCACCCAUCUUCCCCUGCGAGGCCAGAGAAAAACCAAGACGGAUUAAAUGUAAUACUGACCUGAGAUAUGUUUAAGAGCUGAAAACACAAGCUUUAAGGGCACAGUUAAGCUUUGUGAAGAUGUUAGGUGAGCCAUCCUACCGUCUUCCCAAUGCGUCCAUCCUUCCCUGGACGUCCACUUUUGCCAUCAUCCCCCUGAAAACA